rnacentral:rRNA from 1 species
GAUUGAACUGAAGAGUUUGAUCCUGGCUCAGAUUGAACGCUGGCGGCAUGCUUUACACAUGCAAGUCGAACG